UGACUGUUACUGUAUAUUCCACUGUAAACCAUUGGAGGGCAGAAAAAUAAGAGAUGAAGGAAUGUGGGAGGACAUUGGCAUUGUAUGGAUUCCCUCAGAGUAUCUCACUCUCUCCGCUCUCGCCCUGGCGUCUCUCAAGGUAGUUUCUAUAGAUAUUUAUAGGCAGCAUUUACUUACUUAUUUUCAGAGAUAAUGGGGGGCUCCUGCUGAGAGCAGAGAGGAACAUAGCAGCUUUGCUGGAAGAAAUAUUAUAUGAAUAUGAUUUAGUACACCAAAGUUACAGAUGGGUUUUGUAAUUGACACAGAUUAGUCUAUUAAAGCCAUUUGAUUGAUUAAUACUAAUCUCUCGGAGACAGACAUUCUUAACAUAAAUGCAUCGAGUAGCUGACACAUUUAGGCAAGUUUUUGGAGAGGGAUGUUUCCAUUGUGUUCAACAAAGUGCUGACAGAGUAUUGUGGUCUCUGGCACAGCGUAGACCAGCACAGCGUAGACCAAGAGGACUGGGCUGAGGGGUAUAGGACACGAGGACCAGAGGAAAGACGGGAGGUCUGGUGAGACUUUGACAAGAUACGAGGCCCAGAGGAAAGACGGGAGGUCUGGUGAGACUUUGACAAGACACGAGGCCCAGAGGAAAGACCUUGACAAGACACGAGGCCCAGAGGAAAGACGGGAGGUCUGGUGAGGCAUGGACAAGACACGAGGCCCAGAGGAAAGACUGGAGGUCUGGUGAGGCAUGGACAAGACACGAGGCCCAGAGGAAAGACGGGAGGUCUGGUGAGGCAUGGACAAGACACGAGGCCCAGAGGAAAGACUGGAGGUCUGGUGAGGCAUGGACAAGACACGAGGCCCAGAGGAAAGACGGGAGGUCUGGUGAGGCAUGGACAAGACACGAGGUUUCCUAGAAGGCUGAUGAUACUGACAGCGCUUUCCGCUCACCAUGUCGACAGUUUCCGUUUCAGAUGGUGCAAUCACGUGCAGUGAUGAGUUUUUAAUUUCCUUUCAUACACUACAGAAGUGGUUUCAUUCAAACCAGUUGAGAUCGAAAUACAAUGUUUAUUACAAGCCAAUAAAGAUUGUAAUACAAUGUUUAGUAUAGGGAGCCAGAACAUAUUCAUUCAGUAUAUAUUAUAAUUGAGUUGUUUCAGUGGUCGCUGACAGAGCUUAGAUUCCCCUGGUCAUGAGCGAGAGAGGCAGUGGUGACAUUGCAGCGCUGCAACACACUUACUCUGGACACGUCCCCACUGAGCCCUGGGAUCAACACAACAGCUGAAUAAAUGCACUGAAAUAGAGAGAUAUGAAUGGGGAGAGAAAAAUGGCUGAGUGUAUGAGAGAGAGAGAGUGGUAUAAAGGGGACAGAGAAGAGGGAGAUUGCAAGUGAAGGAAGGGGGGGGGAAGUGCAGGGAGAGCCUUCCUGUUUUAUUGACGUUCAGGUUCCUGUCUGGUGCUCUAUGUCUUUCAACCCCAGGCAGCCUACACUACAGCACUAUAUCCCACCUCGAUCCCCCUCUCCUCUGCUAGCCUAACAGCCUGUUUACCGACCUCAGCGCUAUGUAGAUCAAAGAGCCUGCCUUAUAGUGCAGGGGCUUUCAGCUCCAUCUCUCUCUCUCCUCUCUCUCUCCAUUUCUCUGCUCGUGACUCGACACAGAGGAGGCAGAUAUAUGGAGGCUCAGAGUGUCUCUACAGGUGAGAGCAGAGGCUGCCAGAUCCAUGGAUCGUACAGUACGGAGGUGUACCGGCUCUGCUGCUUUGCACUGUUGUCUGACUUCAUGGUUACACGGAUUAAUGUUUCCUGGAGGGAGAGAAGAGAGGGGAGAAAGAGAGAUAAGUGUUUAUUUGUGUGUGCGUAUACGUUUAUUUAACUUAACUGUUCUUGUCCAAACAGUGACUGUAGAUCUGUGGCUCCUGUGUCCUCUGCUGUUUCUCUCUGUAGACCAAUGAUUGUUCCCCCUGUCCUGUCUAUGCUGGACCAGGGCAGCCCUGUCUCUCCCUUCUGACUCACUGCAGAGCUCCUGGGUGAUUCAUCCUGCUCAGCAGCCGGCAGCACCCUAUUGGCAUCUUUUCAAAUAAACCUAUAGCGGACCGGACAGGAGCCUUCGGUAAAUCAAAUUAAACACACAGAGCCAAGAGAGGUAUCUCUCUCAUCAGUCAUUUGACAGAAUGGAGGUUGGCACACUACAGGGUCAUCAUCUAUUAAUGGUUUGUAUCUAUGUGUUGUCAGGCCAGAGCUUUCAUCAUACUUUCUUCAUACUAACCACUUCUCGUUCUCACCCCCUCCCCUCUCUCUCUUUCUCGCCUUUCUCCCUCUUUCUGCCAUAAACACAUUCUUUGUUGUCUUGUUGUCUGUGGAGGGUGAAUUGAGUUUUGUUUUUCAGCUAGAGAUUGUAAUGAGACACAGUAUUCCCCUAACGAUCAUUAGUCAGAAUUAACAGAGUUUUGAAUCCCACCCUCACACGGGUCCUCCUGUUCAGCUCUCCUGGCAGUAAAGACUGACUCUCAGCUAUUUGUUUCUGGUAUAUGUCUAUAGGACACGUGUGUGGAAAGGAAAGGGUCAUAUCCUGACUGUCAGCAAGGCUGGUGUGCAAGCACAGUCCCACCUGAGCUGUGCAUGUGAUGUUUCUGUGUACCAGCUCAAGUUUGGAGGAAGUUCAUUGGAUUAGAAUCACUACUUAUGUUUGAUGACCAAAUUCAGUUUGGGUUUUACAGUGGUAGCCACUUUAACAGUAAGCUAAUUUAAAAUCAUCAACCAGUCUUUUAUGAUUCAAUUCAUUCACUGUACUCCACCCAUACCUACACAUCUCCAUUUAAAGGAGCCAGAGAGACACAGGAGUGAAAUUCAUCCCCCUCUCUCAUAUUCCCUCACAGAUCCCUCAGUUCCUCCAACUGUGCAUCCCCUGACUGGUCUGGUGUCAUUCAGACUGCGGUUGAGGCUCACUACCCUUGGAAUGACCAGUGUUUUAUCCUCAUCUUAUCGUGCAAGCUGGGAGAGCUGGGCCUGAGGGCUUCUAAUGAGUAAUUCACAGAGACCAGGACUGUGCAGGCAGUCAAUAAGACACUAAGCCUUAUGGAGCAAACACUGAGUGAACAAAAGAUUUGGAACACCUUUCUAAUAGUUGCACCCCACCCUUUUGCCCUCAGAACAGCCUCAAUUCCUGGGGUCUUGGACUACAAGGUGUCAAGCGUCCCACAGGGAUGCUGGCCCAUGUUGAUUCCAAUGCUUCCCAAAGUUGUCAAGUUUGCUGAUGUUCUUUGGGUGGUGGACCAUUCUUGAUACACAUGGGAAACUGUUGAGCGUGAAAAACCCAGCAGCGUUGCAGUUCUUGACAAAAACCGCUGCGCCUGGCACCUACUACCAUACCCCGUUCAAACUGGCACUUCAUAUUUUGUCUUGACCAUUCACCCUCUGAAUGGCACACAUACACAAUCCAUGUAAAUCAAGACUUAAAAAUGAUUCUUUAUCCUGUCUCUUCCCAUUCAUCCACACUGAUUAUAAGUGCAUUUAAUAAGUGACACCAAUAAGGGAGCAUAGCUUUCACCUGGAUUCACCUUCUAUGUCAUGUAAAAGCAAGUGUUCUUAAUGUUUGGUAUACUCAGUGUAUAUCACAGUGGCCUGAAUAAGGCCAAGACACUGGAGAGAUUGGCUCUCUGGUUGUAAUACGUGUCUCAGUAAUGACUGUGAUUCUUUCCCCUCAUUCUGCAGGGCCUAAUUGGGUUUGGAGCUUGAUGUCUUGUGGGUGUGUGAAUGUUGUGUAUCCAGUUUUUUUUCUCUCAGCUAAAUCUGGUGCAACGCAUCACUUCCCAUACUCUGAGAUGUAUGUUUUGUUGUACAGUGUCCCUGCCAAAUAAAUGUAAUAAAUGAAAGAAAAAUAUUCUCGCUCCAUUCCGAACAAGGGAUUCUAUCCCUAUUGGCUUUCAAAAGGAUGUUAGAUGAGGUCCAGGAGAUUUUGGUUCUGUAUGGAUUUAAUGGACACAAAACAAAGUAAGCGUGUCGGGUCAUUUGUCAUUGAAAAUGGUAGAGGAAUCCAUGUGUUCUACAGUACAUACUCACUCUCUAGUAAAUGAUUUAGCACCAUCUCAAACCUUAUCAAAAGCAGCGACUGAAACAUUAAACUUGGUGCUGUAUAAUUCAUUUAUGAUAUACAUUGCCUCUCCUUGCCCGUGGCUCGGGUCAUGAGAUGAAGUUCUCACAUUCGUAAAAAGUCUCUGUUCCUUCCUUCCUGUCAGCUUGGAGGGGGUUUUAUGAAUAUGGAGUGACAGUAGAUGUGCUGACUUGCACUCUUUCAAGACUUGCUGGAGAUGAAGUAUGAAUGGAAUUUGUACACACGGGAUGUCUGGUUCCACUGGAAUGUGUUGACGACAUGAAAAUAUUUCUCAACACUCUCGUGACCUGAAGACAAGUUGGCUUAGCUUCUCAUUUUCACAGAGCAUAAGAACAUUUAGUAAAAGCAAAAAUGAAAGACAGUAUGACUGGUUAAAUCUUAGUUGCCCAUGAAUAUGUUUUUUCAAAGGACACAUUGUUUCCAUGUUUUACACAGUGACCUACAGUAUAAUGUGUCCACUGCUAGCUACAACAAACCCAAGGCUUUACAAAUGGAGGUAUUUCAGGACAUGAAUAAUGUAUCUCCUAAUUUCCCCUUCAUUUUUGAGAUGCUUUCAAGCAAACCUUUUAAUUAAUAUUUAAAUACUAAUGAUCCGGGUCCCGUUGCAGUUGAAAAAAAGCUCAAACUUCCCAGGUUACCGUCACCAGUAAACUGAUAGGCUGACAGUUUUCAGAGGUACAUUCUGUGACAGGGGUUUGGACUUAGUUGUUGUUUUCCGCUCAGAUUUGCAGAGUUUUGGAAAAGAGAGGUUAGAAACCGAUUAGGAUUUCCUUCAGUUAACAAAUGUUUGAGGGCCUGACGCUGCAGUUUCCCCGAAAUCCACCACAAUGCUUUUAGCGGACAAACUGUAGCUAUCUGGCUGUCCAAUAGAAGCCUGUCUUUAGGCCUAUAUUUUAUGUUCAUGCUACUCUUUUCUUUACAGUAUCAUUAUAUGAGGACCUACUGGACACACCUUUUAGGAUCCCCACUCAUAGAUUAGAAUCAGAAUACUUCUGUUGCCUCACUGUUGUGUGAGCCUCUUAACAACGGUGUCUGACAUCACUAUAGGAGAAUCUAGAAGCUUGGCAAGUGAGGUUAAUAUUGUAUGGAAGAUAAAAAGAGCCCUUCCCCUUUUCCUCAAGGUGAGAUCUACUGUACCUCUCAAAUCACAGUGAUAUGGUGUUCCUUAUCUCAGCCUUCCCACCAUUUGCAUGACAUUAAUUUCCUCCUGUUAAAUCCAUAGCUUAACUCUCCAUCUGUAGCAGAUCUCUUAGGUGAUGAUGUCACUCAGUGCUAAUCACCUUCUCGGUUAUUAUCUCGACUAGCCCCGUGGCUGCUGUCACUCCCACAGCUGGCCUUAAUCAUUUAGUACAGAGCACUUUUGCCUAAAACAACUUUGUGAAAUGAAUUAUUGUACUACUGUCAACGGCCAAAUGAGAAGGUCGUUGAUGUGAAAAAUCAUCAGUCUUCUCCGUUUCAGAAGGAGCACAGAAAGUCAUUCAGCACAGCUCUCAUAAUCUCAACCUUUGCCUGUGUGUGAGUUUCAAACAGUCUGCAACUUCUGUGUGUGAGUUUUUCUCAAAAUGAAGAUGGUAUAAUUAAGCAACAAGGCCCGAGGAGGUGUGGUAUAUGGCCAAUAUACCACGGCUAAGGACUGUUCAUAGGCGAGACACAAUGCAGAUGGCAUGGACACAGCCCUUAGCCGUGGUAUAUUGGCAAUAUACCAUAAAGCUUUAUUGCUAUUAUAAACUGGUUUCCAACGUAAUUAGAGCAGUAAAAAUACAUGUUUUAUCAUACCCGUGGUAUACGGUCUCAUAUAGCACAGCUGUCAGCCAAUCAGCAUUCAGGGCUCAAACCACCCAGUAUAUAAUAUAUAUUAUUUGGCCAUUUGACAGCUUGACACAUCGCCUAGCCUCGCCACAGGGCAGACCUUGUUUUUUCUGUCCCUAAUCAAAAAUGUCAAAUGUACGAUGCGGCAGGCAGGCAGCAAGAGAAAGGCUUACUUUAUGCCCCGUGCCAACUCAAACAAUGGGCAGCGCCAGUGCAGACGGCGAGGCAGGGAGGUGCUCUUCUUGGGCUCAAUAGCACCAGUGUCUCUGGCCGCGGGGCUCGGAUGCCACAGAGAUACAGCGGGUACUACCAGGCCAGGACAUACGAGGGCAAGGGAGCACACAGUAGGUAAGUAGAUCUAGCAGGCCUCCAGCAGAACCCCAGGGCUGAGAGAGCAGACUAUAGAGAGAGGGAGAACAGGACACGACACAGAGGGAACGUCUUGUCUGGAGAAGUGAUUAGCUGGAUGUGGUUGGGGAGGUGAGUGAGGGAGGGGGUUAGGCGGAUGACAGAGAGUGGGGAGGAGGGAUGAAGAGGAUUUGUUGUUGAGGUGUUUUGACCCUUUCACCCCACUGCCCCCCUUAGUUCUUUCUCUGCUUCUCGUUCUCCCCCUCUUUCUCGCUUACUAUUCAACCUCCUUGUAAUACUUACGUCGUACGUACAUCCUUACAAAAAUAAUUGUGUAUUUUUCACAGAAAGUUUGUCUAAUCUCUGAUACGACUGACCAAUAAUGCAAACUAAUUCAACUGGCAACAGAUGCUAUUGUGAGCCGUACAGUCAAUUUGUUAAAUCAACAUCAUUAGAUUUCACUUUGCUCUUGUGUGUCUGAUUUGAUUUAAUAGACAGAUGUACUUGUCAAUCGCCCAAAACAAACAGGCCAGUUAUUAUAUUAAGAGCAUUUCACUCACACAGCUUACGUCUGGAAUAUAGAUGAUCAGGUUUCAAACUAUUUUUGUAACCGUCAGAAGCAGACAGUUUUUACCCACCAAUGUAUCAAAGCCUUUGAAAAUCAAUUUUGGAGCCAGAGAAAGGAAGGAGAGGCGAGGGAGGCGUCUUUUACAACGUUUGGCCUCCGCUUUACAGACUGGAAGUCUGACUGAUGAUGGAUUGGUCACCAUGGUGUCGUUAGACCAGCAAGUAGAUGUCAGCACAGAGCUGUUGUUUGGUUCAAAGGGCUCCACAGUGUUUGGCUGCGGAAGGGAAGUCGAGAAGUUUUCUGUUUUUUUCCUGGAGAAAUGUGUUUGAAAUUUACAGCAAAUGUUGGUUCCUUUUGAUGCUGUUUUUUUUACAUCACCUUUUGUUGUUGUGAGAUGCAGUAAUGCAACUGACUACUUGUCACACCCUGACCUUAGAGAGCCAGUUUAUUUCUCUAUUUGGUUAGGUCAGGGUGUGAUUUGGGUGGGCAUUCUAGUUUUCUAUUUCUUUGUUGGCCGGGUAUGGUUCCCAAUCAGGGGGAUCUGUCUAUCGUUGUCUCUGAUUGGGAAUCAUACUUAGGCAGCCUGUUUUCCACCUUAGUUUGUGGGAUGUUGUUUUUGCUGUAUAGCCCCGCAGAACUUUACGUUGCUUUAUAUUUUGUUGUUUUGUCGGUGUUUCAGUAUUAAAUAUCAUGAACACUUUCCCAUGCUGCGCUUUGGUUUCAUUCAUUCAACGACAGACGUAACAGAACUUCUAUUUUCUAUUCCCAGAAAAUAUGAUGAGACUUGUUUGGCCUGCAUGUUUGGUAUUUUAUGUUUUGAUUCAAUUCAACAUGAAUAAACAUCAUGCAUUCUGUGAAUCAUAAGCGGUCAUAUCAAUUGACCACCUCAACAUGACAUGGACAAAUAUGCCCCGUAAAAGCAGGUCAGUCUCUUUUUCCAUCCCUUGAAUCGUUCAAUAACUGUCUCACCUCUUGACCCCAUUCUCACUGAGAUGGCUGACCUCAUUGUCUUAUGACAUCAUGGUCAUAGCUCAGCUCUCCCUCAGGGUCGCUAUGUAUGACUGUUUAUAGAGACAACAGAGAUGACUCCAAUGUCAGUUCUGGCCAGCAGAUGGCCCUAUCAAUCUGGAGGGUAGAGGCACACUGCAGGACCUGUGUGUCUAUCUAUGGGACAGCUGUGUCAUGCACUCUGUGUCACUAGCCCUUAACCACAGAUCUGAGAUCAGAUUACUACACCCCAAUCCUUAUUUAGCCUGUUUCAGUGGUCGGAGGCAAAGCCAUGACAUGCACUUCAGCUGCCAUCUUGUGUAUUUAUAUUCUCAGUGGUCACUCACAGUUGGUAAUCUGAGCACAGUGCUGUAUGUCAUGGCCGAUCAUGAGGGAUACUCUAACUGGAAAGGAAAGGGGAAGUAGCUACCAGCUUGUCUCAUCGCUACAACUCCCGUACGGGCUCGGGAGAGACGAAGGUUGAAAGUCAUGCGUCCUCCGAUACACAACCCAACCAAGCCGCACUGCUUCUUAACACAGUGCGCAUCCAACCUGGAAGCCAGCCGCACCAAUGCGCCGGAGGAAACACCGUGCACCUGGUCAGCGCACACUGCACCCAGCCCGCCACAGGAGUCGCUGGUGCGCGAUGAGACAAGGACACCCCUACCGACCAAGCCCUCCCUAACCCGGGCGACGCUAGGCCAAUUGUGCGUCGCCCCACGGACCUCCCGGUCGCGGCCGGUUACGACAGAGCCUGGGCGCGAACCCAGGGACUCUGAUGGCACAGCUGGCGCUGCAGUACAGCGCCCUUAACCACUGCGCCACCCGGGAGGCCCCGUUGUUGUUGUUUUUUUAAGCUGGCUCAUAAGAUAUAUGUUUGAUGGCAGUACUGUUGUUUUUGUUCCGGAAUCACUAUAUAAAUAAACACCCUGAAGCACAGAAGAA